GCCAGACUCCUACGGGAGGCAGCAGUGAGGAAUAUUGGUCAAUGGUUGGGAGACUGAACCAGCCAAGCCGCGUGAGGGAUGAAGGUACAGAGUAUCGUAAACCUCUUUUGUCAGGGAACAAAGGCGGGGACGUGUCCCCGGAUGAGUGUACCUGAAGAAAAAGCAUCGGCUAACUCCGUGCCAGCAGCCGCGGUAAUACGGAGGAUGCGAGCGUUAUCCGGAUUUAUUGGGUUUAAAGGGUGCGCAGGCGGUGUUUUAAGUCAGGGGGAAAACCCGGGGCCCAAACCCCGGGGAGCCGUUGAAACUGGCUGUCUUGAGAUGUCGAGAGGUAUGCGGAAUGCGCAGUGUAGCGGUGAAAUGCUUAGAUAUUGCGCAGAACUCCGAUUGCGAAGGCAGCAUACCGGCGGCGAUCUGACGCUGAGGCACGAAAGCGUGGGUAUCGAACAGGAUUAGAUACCCCGGUAAG
rnacentral:rRNA from 1 species